UGGGGGAUAUUGCACAAUGGGCGAAAGCCUGAUGCAGCGACGCCGCGUGGGGGAUGAAGGCUUUCGGGUUGUAAACCUCUUUCGCUAUCGAACAAGGCCCGCUUAGGGUGGGUUGAGGGUAGGUGGAGAAGAAGCGCCGGCUAACUACGUGCCAGCAGCCGCGGUAAUACGUAGGGCGCGAGCGUUGUCCGGAAUUAUUGGGCGUAAAGGGCUUGUAGGCGGCUUGUUGCGCCUGCUGUGAAAACGCGGGGCUUAACUUCGCGCGUGCAGUGGGUACGGGCAGGCUUGAGUGUGGUAGGGGUGACUGGAAUUCCAGGUGUAGCGGUGGAAUGCGCAGAUAUCUGGAGGAACACCGAUGGCGAAGGCAGGUCACUGGGCCAUUACUGAAGCUGAGGAGCGAAAGCAUGGGUAGCGAACAGG
rnacentral:rRNA from 1 species